rnacentral:lncRNA from 1 species
GCUUAAGUUAUUGCCCAAAUGAAUUUUGGUGGGCAUGCAAAAAUUAAAUGCAAUAAAUAUAACAAGAAUGAAAUGAACCUGUAACUUACCAGACUUGGUUCUUCCUGGUACACCUUUGGGCCUGAGAUGAGAUGAGGUUUCAGUAUAUCACUGCCAAGUAUGGAAAAGGCAGGAGGACCAUCGGCAGACUGGCAAAUCUUUCCACAAGGAAGUAGAAGGAACUAUUUUUAUUGAAUUCUAGAAUAUUAGAUCUGGAGAGAACUUAUAGAUUUUAUAAACCACACCCCUUCCCCAACAUUUUACAAAUGAAGAAACUGAGGCCCAGAGAACCUAACGUGAUGUCACACGGCUGAUUAAUUAAUGGCCAGGGAAAAACUGGAAAUGUAAUUCUCUUUUCCGCUUUUUAGCAACAACUUUGUUAAUGGCACUUAUUCUAUAUUUGUCCCCAAACUAUUACUCUAGGUGGACCAGGGAAGUUUGUUCAGUUGCUCUGAAAUUGAAACCGCAGGUUGUGUAAUAUUUCCAAAACCCCAGUAAGAGGAUGUCAGAGGGAGGACCACCAGCUGCGGAAAGUCUGCGCCUGACCUAGGAGCCCCGGCCUGCACAGCUUAUGCCAAAGCUUGCUCAUUGCAAUAUAGGUAUUGGGUACUGAGGAUAGAAAACAAUGGGAAAACAGAAACAUAAGAGAAGACAGUUAUAUGGCAGCUACUGAUAUUGUCUGGUGAGAUCUGGAAGACUGGAAUCACAAAAGUCUUCACAGGAGGAUUUAUUUGAGAGGUAACGUAGCUGAGUGGUACAACAUCUACAGUCUCGAGCCAGACUGCCUGGAUUCCACCGUUUAUCAGCUAAAGACCUCAGUCAAGUUGCUUAAACUCUCUGUGUCUCAGUUUUCUCAUCCCCGUAAAAUGGAGACAAAUCUUAGUACUUACCUCAGAGGGUUAUUGUGAAAAUUAAAUGAGCUGAUAUAGGUUAAGCGCUAAGAACAGUGGUCUCAAGCUUUAGCAUGCAUCAGGAUCCCCUGGAUGUCUCGUUAAAACACAGGUUUCUGGGCCCCACUCUAAGUUUCUGAGUCAAUAGGUUAGGGGUGGGCCCAAGAAUUUGCAUUUCUAACAAUUUCCCGGGUGAUGCCAGUGCCGCUGGUCCCAGGACAAUUCUUUGAGCAUACUUAGAAUAUAGUGAGCAGUAUUUGUUGCUAUUAUUUUCAGUUGAUCUUUGAUGGAAGAAUGUGAAAUUGUCAGGCAAAGGCACCCAGGCAGAGGGAGCUGCCAGUGCAUAGCAUGGGAGACUGAAAGCAGAGGUCAUGCUCCAGGAACAGGGAGAAACAGGCUGGCGGAGGGACAGGAUGGAUUGUGGUGGCCAGACUCUGAAGAACCUGGCCCCAUUUAAGUAUAGAUAUUAUCUGAGAGUAACCAGAGAGCCUAUUAUCAGCCAUUAGCACCUUAGCACAAAUUAAUUUAUCAGAGUAGUCUGUCACCUUGUCAAACCCUGGAGGAAUCUGACUCAUGCCUGGCAAAUUUGGAUGGCCCUCAUAGAUUGGUGCUCCACUUUUGGAAAAUCAACCCACACCAACAAGUCACAGGCAUCCUUGAGGGUGCUCAGUCAUCCAGACCCCUCUGGGGGGGUCCUACCUCACCACAGGACUUGUGGAUCUGUGCUCAUACCCAGAACUGGUCUGUUGGCAUCUGCACACACAUACUCCUAAUAUCCAUGAGCAUCUUGCUUUUAUUUGCAGCCUUAAAAACAUUACAAUAACAUUGGAAAGCUUAUCGUAUCAUAUUUAUCUAUCUAUGAAUAUUUUCCACACUGUGGACCACAAAAAAGACCUAUUUAUACACACAUUUUCCACUCCAUGGACUGUCAAAAGAGCGUUAAAAGGAAAACACAACCCAUCCAUCUUUCUGCAUUUGUUUUUGUGAUUUUUUUUUUCCCUUUUGGGCAAACCAAGUAAUUUAUGAGCUUUGGUUUAACAGACAAUUCCCGUAUUGCAGCCCCAUGCAUGCUCUUGUUUCUCUGAAGGAAACACAGAUCAGCUUAGCUGCCCUGUGGCUGUUCUCGUGCAUAUCGUUCUACCAACACGUUAACUGUACAACCUUAUACACUCCAGACACUCCAAAGCCAAGUAAGAUCCAACAUGGGCAACAGUGGCUUUCAUCCUGGCAUGGUGAACAUGGGGCCACUGUGAAAGCAGACUAGACUAUUUUGGGCACGGCAUGCUGUAACGAAUGGAAAAAGAGAAAUCAGAGACAGGCAGUUUUCCUCUGCCAUCUGAACGGUAAUAUGGAUGUGUCAUGCUGAAAUGAAGAGCGUGAGUUAGACGGAGGGGAACUGCUCUUGCUGCUGCAUCAAAAUUGAAGGAGGAGGAGGCUGUGGGUGUAGAGAAAUCAGUUACAGGAGAAAAUGCUCCGGUAGGUACAUAGACAGAAAACCAAGUCUAAGUUUGCAAUGACUGCCUUUACAUUGCUCUUCAAUUGUAAAAUAUUUUUGUGAGUGUAAGGUGUGUAUGUGUGUGUGGGUGUGUGCAGUGCACGCAUGUGUGCUUAAGUGAGAGAGACAGACACAGAGCUGUGCAACAUGUGCAGAAGGGCCUUGUGCUUGGUUUCAUGCUCUGCUGUCAUCAUCACGAAAUUCUUAAUACUUUUUGAUCAAGGGCCCCUGGGCCCCCCAAAUUAUGUAGGUGGUCCUGGAGGGAGAGUUAGUUCAUUGAUUUGAGAUGGUUGGAAUAUGGCAUAAAUUUUUUUUUAAUUCUUAAUUUUUAAGACUGUUCUUUUUGAAAUAUGUGUGCCUCAACUUACCUGUUCAAGCUUUUCUUACUACUUCCUAUGCUACCCCUGUGCUUUGUUCACAUGGGAGUCCGCAUAGCUUCCAACAUAGUCAUGGUCAUUUGACUUUUCUUGCCUUAGAGCAGAAGUCAGCAAACUUCUUUUGUAAAAGGCCAGAUAGCCAGUUGAAGAUAGCAACUUGCCCCUUGCUUUGCAGGUCUCAAGGUCGCUAUUGCAACUACUCAACUGCUGUUGUAGGAAAAGCAGCCAUAGAUAAUACAUAAAUGAAUGAGUGUGGCUGUGUUCCAAUAAAACUUUAUUUACAAAAAUAUGUGGAGGCAGGAUUUGGCCUGGGGGGCCAUGAUUUGAUGACCUCCACCCUAAAGCAUCUCCUCUUUCUGAUGAUGAUGAUGAUGCAGCUGAUGAUGAAGUCCAUGAUGAUGGUGAUGAUAACGACAAUGAUGGCUACAAUUUAUUGAGGCCAGACACUGGGUUGAAUGCUUUAUAAGCAUCAUGAUGUUUAAUUGUCACAACAAUGUACAUAUGGUUACUGUGAUCCUGACUUGACAGAGGAGGAAACUGGAGUUUAGAGGAGUAAAGUGAUUUAUUUGUUCAAGCACAUCCAGCUAGAAAAUAGAGGUGUGAAAUUCAAACUUCAGAUCUGUGCUGGACGCUUGUGUUUUCAGCCCUUCAUUUCUCAUACCUGGGACCCUUGACCCUUGCCUACAAUUCAGCCCCAUCCUGUUCUCUAGAAUUGACCUAAACUUUAGGUGAGAAGGAUGUUGUAAGGAGCUCCAGCCUCAUUGACACAAUCCACUAUCAAGCUAUCCUCUAAGGAUAGAGACUCCGGAGCUCCUUUGUUUCCAAGAACCAGUCCCGCUGUAAGAUAACGUAAUGGGGUUUCUAUCUUGUCCUAGAUUCCAUUUCUCCAAGCUUUCUGUUUGUCAAGAUAAGCCAGCUUCUCUAUGUGAGACUUCUUGAUGACAACAAUGUUCUUAGACAGUUAUUUUUGUCUGCUGUAGUAUUAUUUGGGGACAGUAAUGAGUCUUUUGGACUGGAUUUGGCUGGAUGCCAGAGCCAAUCUCUUCUUCUGUUCCCACCUAUUCUCUCAUCUCCACACUUGGUUAGCCCUAAGGGUGGAUCUUGUCCUGGCUGCCGCCCCUCCUGCCUGCCCUGUGUUAUAGUAGUUAACGGGGCCGAAGCUCCUCCCCACAGUUAGUGUGGUUCUCUCCACUGGAAAGGUCUACCACCUUCUUAUUUUCCUCUCAAUUCAAUGCAUUUUUGGAUCGUAGCCCAAGUCCUACUCUCUCUAUAACAUUUCCCUGCACCACUCCAGUACUCACAGAACUUUCCUUUCUUUCACUGCCCAUCAUACAGCCCCAUCUUUUAUUUUUUUCUAGUUAUCUUGAGAGCUUUAUACUUAUUCAUUUUUCUUUGAAAAGCCCCUUGAAAGAACCCAUAUUACUUUUGUUUACUUUCCAUUUGUGAAAAGGUGGUGGACAUUAUUAGGUAGUAGGCAUUGCUGAUUGCUAUUUGGUAUUGCGGAUGGGCUGCUUACUAUGCAAGGUUGCCAAGGUGAGGGAGGGCUUAUUUAUCACAAUGACAAUAUCUCACUAGUGAGAAAGAGAAAAUCAGCUCUGAUAGCAGUGAUCUGUCAUGACAGGCGUGGUCAGCUUGGCUUGGUGCUCUCCUAUUGGAUAGAAACAGUUUUACAAAACAUCCUGGGACCAUGAUGAAUCAAGACAAAAGCAAGACCUUCUGCAACCAUAUCUAAACAGAGGCAAAAUGUGAACAUGUCCAACCUAUGAAAAUGAUCAAACAUUCCCGUCUCCUGGCUGAUAUGAAUAACUGAAGUGAGGCAAGUAUAGCUGUAGCCUUGCUUGACUCCUCUUGCCUUGUUGAUAAGAUUUAUUAAUAUACCCAAGCAAAGAAUUACCCCUUCUUUCUAACAGCAUCCAACCAGAGCAAAGCACUGCUUCCUUGAACCCUCCCCAAAUCAUUUAAGACAAGUCCAAACUCUAUGUUGAGCUCUUUGUAACGUCCUCUUACUUACUAUCUCCAUGGUGCGUUCUCCCUCAGUGCAAUGAGCAAUAAACCCAACUUAUUUAUCUACAGGUAUGUUCUUGGUGGUCUUUGCCUGGAGGACAUUGACACCAGAGAUUCCUUGAGCUAAGAGAAACAUACUCAGUCAUCUUGACUUUAUUUUUUUCAGGGAGUAUGUGUGUUCUCUUUUCUCCCUCAAGGAAAGUCUCUAGAGCAGCUGAGAGAAACCAAAACCAUUGCCAUGGGAUCACUUAUUCUGUUCCCUGCUUUGGUGACCCGUCUCCACCUCUCCACCCCACUCGCAAGGCUGCCAAGAAAAAAAAUAAUACAAGGGAACUUAGAAGGCUCUGAGAAGCGUUUCGUCUCCCUUUUCCAUUUCUACGACUCAGCAUGAAAUAUUGCGAACCCAGAAUGAUACAUACAGUAGCCUCCAUGUUCAGACAAGAACCUGGCCUACUCCAGCUUAUUUUCAUUUUAAAUCCAGCCCAUUUUUAUUUUUGCCAGUGUAAAGCAUGGACUUCAGUGUAAAGGAACAUGCAUCUUUCUCACAUGGCGUUACAACUCAUCUAAAUCUAUAAGGAGUGGCCUGAAAUUUAGAUAGGCUACAAGGUACUUUUCUGGUAAUAAAUGUGGCACCAGGUGGGCCAACUUGAUGCUAGAAAAAGAACAGUUACUUGAUUGAGACUGAAAAGACUGGAAUUUUAGUCAGAGUUUCCCACAAACCACCACUUUGACCUCAGGAAAGCCAUAAUCUCUAAGCUUAAAUUCCCCAUCAACAGUUAAACAUUUUUCAGGCGUACUCCGUGCCAGGUAGCAGGAUAAGCUGCUCGUGCCAUCUGCCCAGUAACUUAUACACAGUACAACGUGACAGGCAUUAUACAGGGAUGAGUAACAAAGUACUAUAGGCGCUCUGAGGAGAAAGGCCCAACUCACCCCGUGUGGUCACGGAAAAUGACUGCAUUUCCUUACACACAAAAGACCCCAAGGUCUUGAACCAGGCUACUUAGAUUCUCCUCUGGCUCAGCUUAGCAGGGCUGGGCAAUCCAUUCAUGCCUGGGUUUUGUCAUCUGUAAAAUGGACAUAAUAGUUGCACCUAUCUCAUAGGAUAGUAUGAGGACGACGCUAACGUGCAUGCACUAACUGUAGAGGACAGUGUUUGGCGUGUAGUAACCACUUCAAGACAUGCUUAAUGUUGUCGUUUUUGUUUCUGUUAGACCUGUUAAGUAAUCUUCAAACUCCUCACAAAUCCAAACCCCAAUCACCCCUCCCAGGGAGGAAGCAAAGCGUCUGAAGUCCUUCCUUUGAAAAAAAAUGUGAGCUUUGGAAAAUAUGACAUCUUUCCAGGAUCACGAGUGAUUUUUAAUAAAAUUUACACUUGAAGAAUGGAAUUUUUCUCUAAGCCAAGAAAGGAGGCAAACCUAAGAGGAAAGCAUUUCACUCCACCAACACAUGGAUCUAAGCUCUGUGGGAACAGGACUUUGUCUCAUUCGUCU